UAAAUGUGUAGAAUUUAAACAACGGAUCUUAUAGCCAUGAUUUCUAUCCUUAAGCAUGCAUAAUUAGCCAGCCCUUUUUCACUAGCCAACCCUAAGUAUUUAUUACAAAUUAUUACAAACCAUAAAUACCGAAUUACAGAAGAAAGAACGAAAAGGCUACAACCAUAGGAAGCCUGAUUUGACUUCCUAUCUGAGAUAUGCAAUAAACUGUAUCAUUGCCAAUGCCAUUGAUAACAAAGCCUUUCUUAGAGAAGGGUCAAGUUUGGACAUGCACAGAAAUAAGUGGAAACUAACAUGCCCAUAAACCUGCCAAAACACACAACAUAUAGAGGUUAUGAUCCCAAGGAAUCAGGUUUGGUUCGUGCACAGCAAUAUUCAAUGUUGUCAUGCCCAAAAAAACCAAAGAUACCAAACACAUAGGGGAUAUAAGGUUUGGGAUUCAUAAGUGAUUGAUAGAGUUCAUACAUAAAGGAAACAUAAAUUCAGAAGAAAGAAAGGGCAGAUUACAACAUGCUUAAUCAUGGAACCUGGUUAAAUACAAACAUGAUACAAAUAAGGAUGCAAGAAACAGUAAAGAAGUAUGUUGUUGUUGAUGCAGAAGCUAAAUUAGAACAUACUAGUUAAAGAUGCAAAUGCAGAGAAAAAUAAGCAAGUUUCCCACAGCCUAGCAUUAUCUUUCAGUCGGCUAGGUAAGGCAGCAGUACAAGUAGCAACAGAGAAAAGAGAGAGAUAUUAGUGGAGUGUAUGUCUGAACUCAAGUAAUUUAUAUCUUGUGUUCGCGUGUUUAAAAGAAGAGAAGUACAGGGUAUUUAUAGCUUUUUGAAAACGGGUGAAAGGGAAAUAAUAAGCCAUAAACAUGGAAACAAUCACAGUUUAGAAUCAAUUACACACAUAAUUGCCUUUAAUUAAGGGAUCACUUUCUUAACGAGCAGUGACAGAUUCAAAAUAAGGAAAGAAAUCAAUUUAUAGGCAGAAUGACUACAGCUAUAAAAGAAGUAGUAAAACCAUCGAGUAAGUGAUUAAGUCUAAGUACAUGAAUAUACUUGUUUUGAAAGGAUUCAGUAAGGCAAAACAAGGAAAGGAAUCAAUUAACCUUAACAGGCAAGAGAAAUCAGAUUUUUACAAAAGAAAAGUUUGAAAUUAGUCACAAAAUUAAAGAUCAAUAAAACAAAGAAACUUAGCAUAUAAAUAUAGUGCACAAACACUAUACACGCGAGGCCAAGCCUAUUGGCAAAAGGAAAUAGCAUGCAAUAGUAGCACGAAAAUUCAGUAGCUAGCAACACUCGAAGCAUGAUAGUCCAUUAGGCCAAGUCACAUUGAAUCAGUAGUGAAGAAAACAUAAAAUAUCAAAAGCAUGCGAAGAUCUCACAGUAGUAGGUGAGGAAUACCCCUUUUUAAAAAAUUAGUUUUUCGAGAAUAAUCGAGUUUUAGAGAUGAUAGAAACCUAGAAUCAGAAAAAUCACACAAAGGAAAGAGAGGUUUCGAAAUAAAGAACUUCAAAUCGACUUAUGUACUUAAACGAACAGUCUCAGACCCAAAGCCAUAGGAUUUUCAACAAUGGUAGAGUUUUAAAAAGAGGAUAUACAAACAAAUCAGACAAAACUCAAACAAACAAGAAUUCGUCUAAUAAAUAGUCAAAAGAAAUUAGGGCUUUUAACAUGCAAACUCAGGUAGAAGAACAAUAUGAGCAAACAUACCAAAAAAAUCAAAGAAAAGUUUGAAAUAACUUAACAAGAACUCUAAUAGAAAAAAAUAAGGAGUUUUGAAAGAAAAGUUUUAAAAGAAACUUCGAGAAAAAUGCUUACAAGUUCAAAGAGAACGUAGAUCUGAAGCAGAUCUGAAAGAAAUCGAAAGAACCUUAGAGAUUAGGGUUUUAGAAAAACCCCAAGUGAUGAGAAAGGCCUUGAAAGCCAUUGAUCUAAGCAUGAGAGUUAAAGGUCUGUCUUGAAUGGCCAUGGCUAGCCAGAGAAAGAUCAGAGAUGAUCAGAGAACAGUCAUCGAGCAAAGUUUGGACUAUGCCUCUUCAUGAUCUGGUCAUGAGACCACAAAAAUGAACACAUAGAAGCCAUGAAAGGCUGAUAUAGGUUUUCAAUGACCUUGGAAAUCCAUGGAUUAGGGCGUAUUAGGGUGGAAGUGGAUAGGGUUUGAGGGUGUUGUAGAGAAGAUUUUAGAGGAGAGAUAUUCAGAAGCAGCGUUUUGUGACGAACAAUAGGGAUUAG
rnacentral:lncRNA from 1 species